rnacentral:rRNA from 1 species
AGAGUUUGAUCCUGGCUCAGAUUGAACGCUGGCGGCAGGCUUAACACAUGCAAGUCGAGCGGGGAAAGGUAGCUUGCUACCUGACCUAGCGGCGGACGGGUGAGUAAUGCUUAGGAAUCGGCCUAUUAGUGGGGGACAACAUCUCGAAAGGGAUGCUAAUACCGCAUACGUCCUACGGGAGAAAGCAGGGGACCUUCGGGCCUUGCGCUAAUAGAUGAGCCUAAGUCGGAUUAGCUAGUUGGUGGGGUAAAGGCCUACCAAGGCGACGAUCUGUAGCGGGUCUGAGAGGAUGAUCCGCCACACUGGGACUGAGACACGGCCCAGACUCCUACGGGAGGCAGCAGUGGGGAAUAUUGGACAAUGGGGGGAACCCUGAUCCAGCCAUGCCGCGUGUGUGAAGAAGGCCUUUUGGUUGUAAAGCACUUUAAGCGAGGAGGAGGCUACCGAGAUUAAUACUCUUGGAUAGUGGACGUUACUCGCAGAAUAAGCACCGGCUAACUCUGUGCCAGCAGCCGCGGUAAUACAGAGGGUGCAAGCGUUAAUCGGAUUUACUGGGCGUAAAGCGCGCGUAGGUGGCCAAUUAAGUCAAAUGUGAAAUCCCCGAGCUUAACUUGGGAAUUGCAUUCGAUACUGGUUGGCUAGAGUAUGGGAGAGGAUGGUAGAAUUCCAGGUGUAGCGGUGAAAUGCGUAGAGAUCUGGAGGAAUACCGAUGGCGAAGGCAGCCAUCUGGCCUAAUACUGACACUGAGGUGCGAAAGCAUGGGGAGCAAACAGGAUUAGAUACCCUGGUAGUCCAUGCCGUAAACGAUGUCUACUAGCCGUUGGGGCCUUUGAGGCUUUAGUGGCGCAGCUAACGCGAUAAGUAGACCGCCUGGGGAGUACGGUCGCAAGACUAAAACUCAAAUGAAUUGACGGGGGCCCGCACAAGCGGUGGAGCAUGUGGUUUAAUUCGAUGCAACGCGAAGAACCUUACCUGGUCUUGACAUAGUAAGAACUUUCCAGAGAU